rnacentral:rRNA from 1 species
AUGACUCAUGGUCCCAUAAGAGAAAGAUAUCCAUGGCGAAUAAAUUCUUAUCCACGAAUAAGUUCUCCAUUAUGGGUGUGCUUUGUUGGAGAACGAAGUGGAACGGAAUGCCAUGGUUCCAUUUCAUGGAGUAGUUUGGUUCGGUUCCUGUGUUUGGUUGUGGGCAUUAUGUGGAAUGGAAUGGUUACAUUUCAGUGUUUGGUUCAGCUCACCUGUGUAGAAAAGGGUAAGAUUACCUCUCAAUGCACCAACCAGCAUACACACCAAGCAAAAUUGCAAAAGACUGGCUUUUUGUUGGAAAACUCACAUACUGAUGCCUUGUUUUACGUGCGUAUAAUUUAUUACUAUAUAAACCACACCAUGGACAGUGUGGAGUAG